rnacentral:rRNA from 1 species
UAAUACAGAGGUCCCAAGCGUUGUUCGGAUUCACUGGGCGUAAAGGGUGCGUAGGUGGUUGGGUAAGUCUGAGGUGAAAUCUCCGAGCUUAACUCGGAAACUGCCUUGGAUACUAUCCAGCUUGAGGGUUGGAGGGGGGACUGGAAUUCUCGGUGUAGCAGUGAAAUGCGUAGAUAUCGAGAGGAACACCAGUGGCGAAGGCGAGUCCCUGGACAACUCCUGACACUGAGGCACGAAAGCUAGGGGAGCAAACAGGAUUAGAUACCCUGGUAGUCCUAGCCGUAAACGGUGCACGUUUGCUGUAAGAGGAAUCGACCCCUUUUGUGGCGAAGCUAACGCGUUAAACGUGCCGCCUGGGAAGUACGGUCGCAAGAUU